rnacentral:rRNA from 1 species
GACGAACGCUGGCGGCGUGCCUAAUACAUGCAAGUAGAACGCUGAAGGAGGAGCUUGCUUCUCUGGAUGAGUUGCGAACGGGUGAGUAACGCGUAGGUAACCUGCCUGGUAGCGGGGGAUAACUAUUGGAAACGAUAGCUAAUACCGCAUAAGAGUAGAUGUUGCAUGACAUUUGCUUAAAAGGUGCAAUUGCAUCACUACCACAUGGACCUGCGUUGUAUUAGCUAGUUGGUGGGGUAACGGCUCACCAAGGCGACGAUACAUAGCCGACCGGAGAGGGGGAUAGGGCAGACGGGAAAUGAGCAAGGGAGCAGAAGCCGAAGGGAGGCAGAAGGAGGGAAGCUUGCGAAAUGGGCGAAAGGUGGAAGGAGCAACGAAGAGGGAGUGAUGAAGGGCUGCGGAUGGUAAAACGCUGUUAUUAGGGAAGAACAAAUGGGUAAGUAACGAUGCAGGUCGGGACGGUACCUAAGCAGAAGACAACGGCUAACUACGU